rnacentral:rRNA from 1 species
CGCAUUAUAAAACCUAAUUCACAAAAACCCACUAUUUACAUGUAAUUUUUAUUACUACCAAGUCCACCUUCAUAAAUCAAUUACAUAAUUUAAUCCGAUUAAAAAUUAUAAAUUGUAGCUCACUUAAGCCUUUUUCAUUAGCUGCAUUUUGACUUGACAUUAUAACCAAUACGUUAUUAAGUUUUUUUCAAAAUUUUUACAAAAUAAACUGACGACAGCAAUACACAAACUGCUAAUAAUUCAAGAAAAAGUAAGUAUAAAAUGAGGAUUAUCAAAUUAACAAGCAAACUCCCCUGGAAGGAUAUAUAACACCGCCAAGCCUUUUAAGUUUUAAACACACAUAAGAAAUUAAAUACUCACAUUCAUGUUCGUACUACCUAAGUAAUAAAAUUUUUAAAAUAAAGAA